GGCGGAAGGAUUUGGGAUCUUGGGCCCCGAUGUUAGCGGCGGACGGGUGAGUAACACGUGGGUAACCUGCCUGUAAGACUGGGAUAACUCCGGGAAACCGGAGCUAAUACCGGAUAGUUCCUUGAACCGCAUGGUUCAAGGAUGAAAGACGGUUUCGGCUGUCACUUACAGAUGGACCCGCGGCGCAUUAGCUAGUUGGUGAGGUAACGGCUCACCAAGGCGACGAUGCGUAGCCGACCUGAGAGGGUGAUCGGCCACACUGGGACUGAGACACGGCCCAGACUCCUACGGGAGGCAGCAGUAGGGAAUCUUCCGCAAUGGACGAAAGUCUGACGGAGCAACGCCGCGUGAGUGAUGAAGGUUUUCGGAUCGUAAAGCUCUGUUGUUAGGGAAGAACAAGUGCAAGAGUAACUGCUUGCACCUUGACGGUACCUAACCAGAAAGCCACGGCUAACUACGUGCCAGCAGCCGCGGUAAUACGUAGGUGGCAAGCGUUGUCCGGAAUUAUUGGGCGUAAAGGGCUCGCAGGCGGUUUCUUAAGUCUGAUGUGAAAGCCCCCGGCUCAACCGGGGAGGGUCAUUGGAAACUGGGAAACUUGAGUGCAGAAGAGGAGAGUGGAAUUCCACGUGUAGCGGUGAAAUGCGUAGAGAUGUGGAGGAACACCAGUGGCGAAGGCGACUCUCUGGUCUGUAACUGACGCUGAGGAGCGAAAGCGUGGGGAGCGAACAGGAUUAGAUACCCUGGUAGUCCACGCCGUAAACGAUGAGUGCUAAGUGUUAGGGGGUUUCCGCCCCUUAGUGCUGCAGCUAACGCAUUAAGCACUCCGCCUGGGGAGUACGGUCGCAAGACUGAACUCAAAGGAAUUGACGGGGGCCCGCACAAGCGGUGGAGCAUGUGGUUUAAUUCGAGCAACGCGAAGGACCUUACCAGUCUUGACAUCCUCUGACACCCUAGAGAUAGGGCUUUCCCUUCGGGACAGAGUGACAGGUGGUGCAUGGAUUGUCGUCAGCUCGUGUCGUGGGAUGUUGGUUAGGUCCCGCACGAGCGCAACCUUGAUCUUAGUGGCAGCAUCCGUGGAACUCGUACUGACUGCCGUGACCACGGAGGACGUGGGAUGACGUCAUCAUCAUGACCUAUGACUGCUUACACGGCUCAAUUGACAGGACCGAAG
rnacentral:rRNA from 2 species